rnacentral:rRNA from 1 species
GGUAAAGUGAGCUCUCAGGAAGAUGAAGAGUUAGUCUGGGGGAUAGGGAGGAGUUCAGAGCUCAAGCUUUUUAACUUUUCACAACUAUCAGAUGCUACGAGUAACUUCUCAGAUGAAAAUAAAUUGGGGCAAGGUGGCUUUGGCCCAGUAUACAAGGGCCAGCUUCCUGGAGGUUUGGAAAUAGCAAUUAAGAGACUAGCUUCGCAGUCUGGGCAGGGUUUCACAGAGUUUAAAAAUGAAGUCCAACUCAUAGCCAAGCUCCAGCACACAAAUUUGGUUAGGCUAUUGGGAUGUUGCUCUCAAGGAGAAGAGAAAAUAUUAAUCUAUGAAUAUUUGGCAAAUAAAAGCUUGGAUUUCUUUAUCUUUGAUGAAACUAAAAAGGCUUUAUUGGAAUGGAACAAAAGAAAAGCGAUUAUCGAAGGGAUAGCACAAGGACUUCUAUAUUUGCAUAAGCACUCUCGGUUACGGGUCAUACAUAGAGAUCUUAAAGCAAGCAACAUUCUUUUGGACGGUGAAAUGAAUCCUAAAAUAUCAGAUUUUGGGCUUGCAAAAAUAUUCAGCUCAAAUGAUACCGAAGGGAACACAAAAAGGAUUGCUGGGACAUAUGGGUACAUGGCUCCCGAGUAUGCUUCGGAGGGUCUCUUCUCGAUCAAAUCUGAUGUAUUCAGCUUUGGUGUGCUAAUUCUUGAGAUCAUCCAUGGAAAAAGGAACUCAUGUUUUCAUCAAUUUGGGGACUUCUUCAACCUUCUUGGAUAUGCAUGGAAGUUGUGGAAAGAGGAAAGAUGGCUUGAGUUCGUCGAUGAAUCAAUAGUUUCAGAGUCUGACGUGUUAGAGACAAUGAGGUGCAUCAACAUCGCACUGCUCUGUGUGCAAGAGAAUGCAGCUGAUAGACCCACAACAGCAAGUGUGGUUGCGAUGCUAAGCAGUGAAAGCAUGACCCUGCCUGAACCUAAGCAUCCGGCGUAUUUCCACAUAAGGGUAACGGAGGAAGAGCCACCUAGUGCUAAUGAUAUGACAAUGUCUGCUCUACAGGGCAGAUAG